CCGGGCCCUAAUCCACUUUCUUUUCCUUUCUACCGCCGCCCAGCCUUCUCCUUAGCACCGUCGCCCAAUCGUCAAGGCCACCGUCCACGCUGUGCCGCCCCUUCGCCGGUGCUGUGCCGUAGCCACCGCUGCCAGCCGCAGCCACGGCUAGCGUCGCGGCUACUACAGUCGGUCAACCAACCCUCUGUUCUCCCUUCUCCGCGCGAAGGAGAACCGCGACCGCAGUGCUGCCAGCCGCCGCUGUUCGCCCUUGCUGGUUCUGUCGACCUUUCCUUGGUCGGCCGGCAGCCUAGUUCGCCGAAGCAACUACCCUAGCCAACACCAUUGCCCUCAAAUCUACGACCAGUUCCUUUGCCCUCGUGAACACCGGCGGCUACCCAUCGCAGCCAACCAUCGGUUUCGACUCCUCCGGCCUUUGAGAGCAGCCCCACCGCUGGUCGUGAGAGGGACACCAUUGCUUUUCUCUUCGUCCGAUUCAACUAUUGUCAUGAGCCACUGCUAGGGCAGUGAAUAUCCGUCAGGAAGAGGCCAAAGGGAUACUGAUUUGAGAUAAGCGUUCCGACACUGAGAUAGUUAAUAUCUACAUUUGAGGCUGAUAAACAUCAAUUGAACUUCAAAGACAAGUACUCAAAGUUGUAUUGGAACAAUCACCUAAUGCACCCUUUGUCGUGCCAUGGAUGCCAGGCAUAGCAGCAUUCUCUCCUUGGUGUUAGUAACACUUGCAGGAAGAAAUAUUUAGCCAUUUUACAAGAUUGACUACUUCUCACGAUGCUGCCAGGAUUUUCUAGGAGUGAUGGUGAGAUUUCAUGUCAUUAUUCUAUACAUGCUUGUAAAAUUUAACAGUGGUAUCUGUUCUCAUUAGCGAAUCAGUUCUGGGCUCCAGACUAUGACUCUCAAUUUGCAAAACAUUUGAGUGAAAUAAAACAGGAUAUAUGGGUGAGGAUUAUUAGUGAAUGCAGGAAAUAAAACAAUAAAACAGGACAUAUGGUUUGCAGAAUUGCGUCUCAAACUGCCCUCAAUGGGUCACUUGCUGAUUAUAGCCUGAUUAGAAUAUCAAGAUACUCUACAUUUCUCAUCUCAAAGUCGAAUUGCAAGCUUGACAAUGAUGAAUUUUGGUUGGAUAAGUUGGAUCAAAAGGAUUGGCUUGCACCAAAUGCAGUUCUGAAAAUAUUUAGGCAUGUGAGAAACUCUGAAUCAAUUAUUACUGCAUUCAGAAAGGCAUCUAGUCGUAUGGAUUAUAGGCCUAAUGAAACAUUUUAUAGUUUAUUGAUCAAUAAACUUGCUCAUUUUGGGAAAUUUAGUUAUGUUGAUGAACUAUUGGAAAGGGCAAAGCAGGAGAACUGUGAACUCUCAGAUGAUUUUUUUUAUAGAUUGAUCAAAAUGUAUGGUAAUGUGGCAAAUCAUCCUGAUAAGGCCAUUGAGAUUCUCCUCAAGAUGCCAGAUUUUAAUUGUUGGCCCACUGUCAAGACUUUCAAUUAUGUUCUUAAUAUGCUUGUUAAUACUCGGCAGUAUGAAGUUAUACAUGAGGUUUACUUGAGUGCUCUGAGAUUAUGUGUAACCCUGGACACUUGUUCCUUUAAUAUUCUGAUCAAAGGCUUGUGUCAAUGGGGAAAGCUGGAUGCUGCUUUUUCUGUGUUGCCGGAAAUAAGAAACCAAGGAUGUAAACCUAAUGCAACUACUUAUUCGACAAUAAUGUACUAUCUUUGUAAGCAUGACAGGGUAGGUGAAGCACUUGAUCUUUGCGAGACAAUGGAGAAAACUGGUUGUUACCCAGACACUAUAACUUUCAACAUUUUGAUUUCUGGCCUGUGCAAACAAGGAAGAGUGACCGAGGCUAUGGGGAUGUUAAAUACUAUGAAAUUAAAGGGAUGUUAUCCAAAUUCAGGCACACACCAGGUGCUACUCUAUGGUUUGCUCAGUUCAAAGAAAUUUGUGGAGGCUAAGUAUUUUAUAGAUACAAUGAUCUCUGAAGGUAGCAGGCCAAGUUUCUCAUCAUACAAAAUAAUUAUUGAUGGCCUUUGUAGUGAGGACUCAUUGACUCAUGCUGAGAUGGUGUUGGAGCAAAUGGUGCAUCAGGGAUUUGUUCCUCGAAUGGGGACAUGGAAGAUAUUACUAAAAUGCAUGUUUUUAGAAGACAAAUAACAUUCUUGCGUAUUUUAUGUAAUCACACGAUUAUUAAGGAAGCAAAGUGAAGCUAAGGCACUGCACAGUGAUUUCAGAUUGCGGGUAGGAUAAUUCUUGUCGUUUGUAAUGACUACUUUGGUUCAGCACUUCUUCGAGGCUCUUUCAUUCACCAAUUGCCUCCUAUAGACUCAGGGGUUACUUCUCCAGUCUCCAGACGGAGGAGAAACGAAGAAUAGACUUGACUCACUGACAUGAAUUAUAAGGAGUAACAUUAAGCUACGGCGAUCGCCGCCGCUACAUCUCCGGCCGGCCUGAGCUCCUUCAGCAAGGCCACCACCUGCAGCAUGUUCGGCCUCUUGGAGGGAAAGUCAUCCACGCACUUCAACGUGAUCUCCAAGAACCUCUCCAUCUCCUCCUCCGCCGCCUCCCCGCCGCCCAUCAGCAGCAACUUCCCGUCGAACACCUCCCGCCCUUUCCCCUCCCUCACCUUCAUCUUCACCCAACCCACUAAGUUGGUGUCCCCGAAGUCCUCCUUGUCGGUGGGCCGCCGCCCGGUAAGCAGCUCGAGCAGGACCACCCCGAAGGAGUAGACGUCCCCCUUGGCCGUGCAGCGGAAGCUCUGGUAGUACUCCGGC